CCUGCCAGUAGUCAUAUGCUUGUUUUAAAGAUUAAGCCAUGCAUGUCUAAGUAUAAGCAAAAAUACAGCAAAACUGCAAAUGGCUCAUUAAAACAGUUAUUGUUUACUUGAUAAUAAUUUUUACAUGGAUAACCGUGGUAAUUCUACAGCUAAUACAUGAGCAAAAUCUCAACUUUAUUAGAAGAGACGCAUUUAUUAGAUAAAAAGCCAGUUCAUGCUUUUACAGUAUGAAAAUUGGUGAUUUAUAAUAACUUAGCAAAUCGCAAAGUGAAAACAGGCGAUAAAUCAUUCAAGUUUCUGACCUAUCAGCUUUCGACGGUAUGGUAUUGGCUUACCGUGGCAGUGACGGUUAACGGGGGAUUAGGGUUCGAUUCCGGAGAGGGAGCCUGAGAAACGGCUACCACAUCUAAGGAAGGCAGCAGGCGCGCAAAUUACCCAAUUCUAACAGUUUGAGAGAGGUAGUAACAAGAAAUAACAAUACAAGGCAGUUAAAAUGCUUUGUAAUUGGAAUGAUAGAAAUUUAAACCCUUUUUAAAGUAUCAAUUGGAGGGCAAGUCUGGUGCCAGCAGCCGCGGUAAUUCCAGCUCCAAUAGCGUAUAUUAAAAUUGUUGCAGUUAAAAAGCUCGUAGUUGAAGUUCUGCUGAAAGUAACCGGUCUGCUUUUAAUAAAAGUGGUAUCUUGGUAUGUAUUUAGCAAUGAUGUCCUUUGAAGUGUUUUUUACUUUAUUGUAAUAAAGCAUAUUCAGGACUUUUACUUUGAGAAAAUUAGAGUGUUUCUAGCAGGCUAACGCUUUGAAUACUGCAGCAUGGAAUAAUAAGAUAGGAUUUUAGUUCUACAUUAUUGGUUUUAAGAGCUAAAUUAAUGAUGAUA
rnacentral:rRNA from 1 species